rnacentral:rRNA from 1 species
CCUACGGGGAGCAGCAGUGGGGAAUAUUGGACAAUGGGCGAAAGCCUGAUCCAGCCAUGCCGCGUGUGUGAAGAAGGCCUUCGGGUUGUAAAGCACUUUCAGUGGGGAAGAAAGCCUUGGGGCUAAUACCCUCGAGGAAGGACAUCACCCACAGAAGAAGCACCGGCUAACUCCGUGCCAGCAGCCGCGGUAAUACGGAGGGUGCGAGCGUUAAUCGGAAUUACUGGGCGUAAAGCGCGCGUAGGCGGUCUGAUAAGCCGGUUGUGAAAGCCCCGGGCUCAACCUGGGAACGGCAUCCGGAACUGUCAGGCUAGAGUGCAGGAGAGGAAGGUGGAAUUCCCGGUGUAGCGGUGAAAUGCGUAGAGAUCGGGAGGAAUACCAGUGGCGAAGGCGGCCUUCUGGACUGACACUGACGCUGAGGUGCGAAAGCGUGGGUAGCAAACAGGAUUAGAUACCCCAGAGUC